AGCGAACGCUGGCGGCAUGCUUAACACAUGCAGGUCGCACGAACCUUUCGGGGUUAGUGGCGGACGGGUGAGUAACGCGUAGGAAUCUGUCCACGGGUGGGGGAUAACUCUGGGAAACUGGAGCUAAUACCGCAUGAUACCUGAGGGUCAAAGGCGCAAGUCGCCUGUGGAGGAGCCUGCGUUCGAUUAGCUAGUUGGUGGGGUAAAGGCCUACCAAGGCGAUGUUCGAUAGCUGGUUUGAGAGGAUGAUCAGCCACACUGGGACUGUGACACGGCCCAGACUCCUACGGGAGGCAGCAGUGGGGAAUAUUGGACAAUGGGGGCAACCCUGAUCCAGCAAUGCCGCGUGUGUGAAGAAGGUCUUCGGAGUGUAAAGCACUUUCGACGGGGACGAUGAUGACGGUACCCGUAGAAGAAGCCCCGGCUAACUCCGUGCCAGCCGCCGCCGUAA
rnacentral:rRNA from 1 species